rnacentral:rRNA from 1 species
AUUGAACGCUGGCGGCAGGCCUAACACAUGCAAGUCGAACGAGUGGCGGACGGGUGAGUAAUGUCUGGGAAACUGCCUGAUGGAGGGGGAUAACUACUGGAAACGGUAGCUAAUACCGCAUACCAUCGGAUGUACCCAGAUGGGAUUAGCUAGUAGGUGGGGUAAAGGCUCCCCUAGGCGACGAUCCCUAGCUGGUCUGAGAGGAUGACCCCCCCAACUGGAACUGAGAGCCUGUCCCGACCCCUACGCGAGGCAGCCGUGGGUAAUAUUUCACAAGUGGCGCGAGCCGUAUGCAGCCAUUCCGCGUGUAUGAAGAAGGCCUUCGGGUUGUAAAGGACUUUCAGCGGGGAGGCGUUACCCGCAGAAGAAGCACCGGCUAACUCCGUGCCAGCAGCCGCGGUAAUUC